rnacentral:lncRNA from 1 species
UGGUGCUAAUUCAAAAAUUUAAACAGUAAAAUCGAAUUUGAAAAACAUUAAAACCACAAAUUUCGAAAAGUUGAACCAAAUACGGUUAACACAAUCCACAUGGUGGUGUUGUGGGUUGGUGGGUGCUGGUGGUAGAAAGGGGGAGGGGUAGAAAACCCUUAGUAUAAGUCAUAAUUGAACAUUUUGGAAACAAAAUCAUAACAGAAAAUGAACAUUCAAUGAUAUAUCAUGUCAUCACUAAAGUGCAGACUUCUGAACUAGUGGAUUCAGAAGAGACUCUGAAAAUGUACAUUUAUUCUUAAAACUGGAAGCCAAAGUAAUGCUGCAUCCAAAGUAGGUAGCUA